rnacentral:rRNA from 1 species
GAUGAACGCUGGCGGCGUGCCUAAUACAUGCAAGUCGAGCGAACGGACGAGAAGCUUGCUUCUCUGAUGUUAGCGGCGGACGGGUGAGUAACACGUGGAUAACCUACCUAUAAGACUGGGAUAACUUCGGGAAACCGGAGCUAAUACCGGAUAAUAUUUUGAACCGCAUGGUUCAAAAGUGAAAGACGGUCUUGCUGUCACUUAUAGAUGGAUCCGCGCUGCAUUAGCUAGUUGGUAAGGUAACGGCUUACCAAGGCAACGAUGCAUAGCCGACCUGAGAGGGUGAUCGGCCACACUGGAACUGAGACACGGUCCAGACUCCUACGGGAGGCAGCAGUAGGGAAUCUUCCGCAAUGGGCGAAAGCCUGACGGAGCAGCGCCGCGUGAGUGAUGAAGGUCUUCGGAUCGUAAAACUCUGUUAUUAGGGAAGAACAUAUGUGUAAGUAACUGUGCACAUCUUGACGGUGCCUAAUCAGAAAGCCACGGCUAACUACGUG